rnacentral:rRNA from 1 species
GACGAACGCUGGCGGCGUGCUUAACACAUGCAAGUCGAACGGAAAGGCCCUGCUUUUGUGGGGUGCUCGAGUGGCGAACGGGUGAGUAACACGUGAGUAACCUGCCCUUGACUUUGGGAUAACUUCAGGAAACUGGGGCUAAUACCGGAUAGGAGCUCCUGCUGCAUGGUGGGGGUUGGAAAGUUUCGGCGGUUGGGUAUGGACUCGCGGCUUAUCAGCUUGUUGGUGGGGUAGUGGCUUACGAAGGCUUUGACGGGUAGCCGGCCUGAGAGGGUGACCGGCCACAUUGGGACUGAGAUACGGACCAGACUGCUACGGGAGGCAGCAGGGGGGAAUAUUGCAGAAUGGGCGGAAGCCUGAUGCAGCAACGCCGCGUGCGGGAUGACGGCCUUCGGGUUGUAAACCGCUUUCGCCUGUGACGAAGAGUGAGUGACGGUAAUGGGUAAAGAAGCACCGGCUAACUACGUG